rnacentral:lncRNA from 1 species
UUUUUACAUGAAAUGGGUUACAAUGUUAAAGUUUUUUAAUAGACAGUUCUGUUUUUCGUGGAUAGGUAAUCAAAGGUAAUCUUUUUGUACUGAUAAAUAGUUUUUUUUAUUAUAUUUUUAGAUAUUUAUUUUCUUAUAUUGGCUACAAAAUCUAUAGGAGGUUGAUUUUAAAUCUUGGUAUGAUCUGAUGUCAAUUGAAAAUAAUUCUAGGCACAGAUCAUUAUCAUGUAGAUCUAUAUUUAUUCUUGUUGCAAAGAGUAGAGUCAUAUAUUUUUUCAUAUUUAUAAGAUAUGUUUAGCAAAUACAUUUAUUUUCCUUUUGGUUAAGGGUAUUGGAGACAUUUGGAGUUACUAGCUUCAUUUAUAUUACUGUGUAAUAUGAGCAUUGGACAUUUCUGUUGAAAUUACUAAUAAUUUUUGUCCUAAGAUUUUUUUGUUGAAAAAUACGCCUGCAUCUGAAAUGAAUGUAUUGAUUAUUAUUGAAAUAAUGUUUUCUUCCCAAUUGUUCAAACCCUUAGAAUAUGUUUAUUCAUUAUUGCUUUAAAUUAUUCUCAGUAAUUAUUACAUGAUGUUAAAAAUUAUUGAAAUACUUUUUAGCUCACCUGGCCCUGUGAGCUUUUUCCAUCACUUUGCGUCCGUCGUCCGUCAUCCUUAACUUUUACAAAAAUCUUCUCCUCUGAAACUACUGGGCCAAAUUAAACCAAACUUGGCCACAAUCAUCUUUGGGGUAUCUAGUUUAAAAAAUGUGUCCGGUAACCCGUCAUCCAACCAAGAUGGCCCCCACGGCUAAAAAUAGAACAUAGGGGUAAAAUGCAGUUUUUGGCUUGUAACUCAAAAACCAAAGCAUUUAGAGCAAAUCUGACACGGCGUCAAAUUGUUUAUCAGGUCAAGAUCUAUCUUUUAAUGAAAUUUUGCUGUUUUUGGUUAUUAUCUUGAAUAUUAUUAAAGAUAAAGAUAAACUGUAAACAGCAAUAAUGUUCAGAAAAGUAAGAUUUACAAGUAAGUCAACAUGACCGAAAUGGUCAAUUGACCCCCUAAGGAGUUAUUGUCUUUUAUAGACAAUUUUUAACAAUUUUCAAAAAAUUUGUAAAUUUUUACUAACAUUUUCCACUGAAACUACUGGGCAAAGUUCAUUAUAGAUAGAGAUAAAUGUAAGCAGCAAGAAUGUUCAGUAAAGUAAGAUGUACAAACACAUCACCAUCACCAAAACACAAUUUUGUCAUGAAUCCAUUUGCUUCCUUUGUUUAAUAUUCAGCUUCCUUUGUUUAAUAUUCAGCUUCCUUUGUUUAAUAAUACAUAGACCAAGGUGAGCGACACAGGCUCUUUAGAGCCUCUAGUUUUUUUAUUGAAACUCUUUUUACUUUAUUGUGCAGGAGCUUUAAUUUGGUCAAACUAUGUUAACAUAUCUUAAAUAUUGAAUGAAAAAUCAAGCAUCAUUUAAUUACAUAUUAAAAAGCCCAACUUUACACAAUGUAGGAUAAAGAUGAGCUCUAAUCAUGACUACUAUAUUGACUAUCAUGCAAUUUGUUUUUAACUUAAGGUGGUACCUAACACUACAGGGAGAUAACUCUAUAAAAUCAGCUAAAUGUUUGAAUCACUUUAUGUUGUUAAGAGAAUAUUAAGCUUCUCAAAGAUAAAAAUUAAUGUUUGUCAAACUGCUGUAUAACCAGUGUAAUUAUCCUGAUCAAAUGGUUGGUUAAAAUUUUUUGAAAUUUUUAUAUUUUUGUCAAAGGGUCAAAGUAAAUAUUUUGUCAAAAUUUUAUGAAAAUUAAACGAGACAAAUUAAUUUAAGAAAAAGUGUUAGGUACCACCUUAACAUAUGUAGCAUAUUAUAAAUCAUUUAAUCUUCUUGUACCAACUAUCAAAAAGAUUUUUAAGUGAUGUUUGAAUUCAUCGCAGUAAGCUCAUUAGACUUCUUUUAAGAUUUUAACUUUUAUUAUUCAUAGAUAUGCAAAUUCAUUAAGGAAAAAUUGUUAUGUUUUUAUUGGAAGGGUACUGGCAAAUCAUGUAUUACUGAUAUAUUUGUUUAAAGGUAUUUUCACUGAUGAUUUAAGAGCUUUAAAUGUUGUAUGACAUUGAAUCGAAUGAAUACCAAUGUUUAUACAUAUUCUGUUAUGUUAUCUAUUUUCUGUUCUACAAAUCUAUUGACGUUCUCAGUCAUUUUAUCUAUAAUUUUCUUAAUUUGUUU